rnacentral:rRNA from 1 species
GACAGAGGAGCCAAGCGUUGUCCGGAUUCAUUGGGCGUAAAGAGCGCGCAGGCGGCUUGGUAAGUCGGAUGUGAAAUCCCGAGGCUCAACCUCGGGUCUGCAUCCGAUACUGCCCGGCUAGAGGUAGGUAGGGGAGAUCGGAAUUCCUGGUGUAGCGGUGAAAUGCGCAGAUAUCAGGAGGAACACCGGUGGCGAAGGCGGAUCUCUGGGCCUUACCUGACGCUCAGGCGCGAAAGCUAGGGGAGCGAACUGG